CCGUGCUUAACUCAGUUGGCAGAGUGCCUGACUGUAGACUAGUAAUACAAACGGUUGUAUUUGGCAGCCAUCAGGAUGUCCCCGGUUCAAGUCCGGGAGCGCGGACCA
rnacentral:tRNA from 1 species